GAUUGAACGCUGGCGGCAUGCCUAACACAUGCAAGUCGAACGGCAGCGCGGGGGCAACCCUGGCGGCGAGUGGCGGACGGGUGAGGAACACAUAGGAAUCUACCUCAACGUGGGGGAUAACGUAGGGAAACUUACGCUAAUACCGCAUACGACCGAGAGGGGAAAGCGGCGGACCGCAAGGCGUCGCGCGGUGAGAUGAGCCUAUGUCCGAUUAGCUAGUUGGCGGGGUAAGAGCCCACCAAGGCGACGAUCGGUAGCUGGUCUGAGAGGAUGAUCAGCCACACUGGAACUGAGACACGGUCCAGACUCCUACGGGAGGCAGCAGUGGGGAAUAUUGGACAAUGGGCGCAAGCCUGAUCCAGCAAUGCCGCGUGGGUGAAGAAGGCCUUCGGGUUGUAAAGCCCUUUUGUACGGGAAGAAAUCCUGUCGGUUAAUACCCGGCGGGGAUGACGGUACCGUAAGAAUAAGCACCGGCUAACUUCGUGCCAGCAGCCGCGGUAAUACGAAGGGUGCAAGCGUUAAUCGGAAUUACUGGGCGUAAAGCGUGCGUAGGCGGUUCGUUAAGUCUGUCGUGAAAGCCCUGGGCUCAACCUGGGAAUGGCGAUGGAUACUGGCGAGCUAGAGUCAGGUAGAGGGUGGCGGAAUUCCCGGUGUAGCGGUGAAAUGCGUAGAGAUCGGGAGGAACAUCUGUGGCGAAGGCGGCCACCUGGACCAUGACUGACGCUGAGGCACGAAAGCGUGGGGAGCAAACAGGAUUAGAUACCCUGGUAGUCCACGCCCUAAACGAUGCGAACUGGAUGUUGGGCUCAACUCGGAGCUCAGUGUCGAAGCUAACGCGUUAAGUUCGCCGCCUGGGGAGUACGGUCGCAAGGUUAAAACUCAAAGGAAUUGACGGGUCCCCGCACAAGCAGCGGAGCGUGUGGUUUAAUUCGAUGCUACACGAAGAACCUUACCUGGGUUUGACAUAGAGGUAGUAGGGAAGCGAAAGCGGACCGACCCUUCGGGGAGCCUCUACAGGUGUUGCAUGGCUGUCGUCAGCUCGUGUCGUGAGAUGUUCGGUUAAGUCCGCUAACGAGCGCAACCCUCGCUGUGUGUUACAAGUGUCACACGGUACUGCCGAUAUUAAGUCGGAGGAAGGUGGGGAUGACGUCAAGUCAGCAUGACCUUUAUAUCCAGGGCUACACACACGCUACAAUGGCCAGUACAAUGGGUUGCCAAGCCGCGAGGCGGAGCCAAUCCUAAAAAGCUGGCCUCAGUUCAGAUUGCAGUCUGCAACUCGACUGCAUGAAGUCGGAGUUGCUAGUAACCGCAGGUCAGCUAUACUGCGGUGAAUACGUUCCCGGGGAU
rnacentral:rRNA from 1 species